AUGAGAAGACAAAAGUAUUUAACUUCCUACUGUGAGAUUUCAUCCGAAGAUGAUAGUGUUUUGGAAGAAGAUGCUUUGGAUGAAACUUGGAAACCUGAAGAAGAGGAGACAGUGGUGAAUAGAUUACACUUAAAAGAAAGGAAAACUAGAAAAAUAACUAAAACUAGCAAAGUUGAAUAUUUUACGCGUCAGACACGUC